UUCGGGAUAGGAAUGCAUGUCUAGAUCACGUAUUUAUAUUACGAAUCCGCAUACGGCUCAUUAUAACAGCUAUAAUUUAAGGGACAUACGACAAUCAUAGGAUAACUGUGGUAAUUCUAGAGCUAAUACUUCUGCAAUGCCUUCUAUCCGGAAGGUGGAUUUAUAAGCAAAAACCAAUGGUAUUUCGGUACCUUUUAGGUGAAUCUAGAUAACUAACCCAAUCGCAUUGCCUUGCGCUAGCGAUGGAUCCCUUUGAGUGGCUGACCUAUCAACUGUCGUUGGUAAGUUAAAGGCUUACCAAGGUUAUAACGGGUAACGGGGAAUUAGAGUUCGAUUCCGGAGAGGGAGCCUGAGAAACGGCUACCACAUCUACGGAUGGCAGCAGGCACGUAACAUACCCAAUGCUAGAAAUAGCGAGGUUGUGAAGAAAACUAACAAUGUGUUAACUUUUGUUUUCACAAUUGCAAUGAGAUGAUUUUAAAUACUUCAUUGAGUAACAAAUGGAGGGCAAGUCUGGUGCCAGCAGCCGCGGUAAUUCCAGCUCCAUUAGUGUAUAUUAAAGUUGUUGCGGUUAAAAAGCUCGUAGUUGAAAUUGGGGUUACUUUCUUUUGUUCCUUUCGCAGGAAUUUUAGUUGGUACCUUAUUCGUCAUAAUACUCAUUGUGGCCUUCACUGGUCGUGGUGUGUGUAUGGCUAUUUUACUUUGAAAAAAUUAGAGUGCUUAAAGCAGGCUUAUGCUUGAAUAUUGAUGCAUGGAAUAAUAGAAUAGGACUUUGGUUCUAUUUUGUUGGUUUUAUGAACUGAAGUAAUGAUCGAUAGAGACAGCCGGGGACAUACGUACGCUAGAGUGAGAGGUGAAAUUCUGUGAUCUCUAGCAGACGAACAACUGCGAAAGCAUUUGUCAAGAAUGUUUUCAUUAAUCAAGAACGAAAGUCAGGGGCUCGAAGACGAUCAGAUACCGUCCUAGUCCUGACCAUAAACUCUGCCAACUGACGGUUCGCUAUGGCAUAAUUUAUGGCCUUGCGAGAAGUCACCGGGAAACCAAAGUCUUUGGGUUCCGGGGGAAGUAUGGUUGCAAAGCUGAAACUUAAAGGAAUUGACGGAAGGGCACCACCAGGGGUGGAGCCUGCGGCUUAAUUUGACUCAACACGGGAAAUCUCACCCGGUCCGGACACUGUGAUGAUUGACAGAUUGAUAGCUCUUUCUUGAUUCAGUGGGUGGUGGUGCAUGGCCGUUCUUAGUUGGUGGAGUGAUUUGUCUGGUUAAUUCCGAUAACGAACGAGACUCUAACUUGCUAAAUAGUACACGCAUGAACGACUUUAGUGCGUGCCGACUUCUUAGAAGAAUUAGUGAUUAUUAAUCAAGUGAAAUAGAGCAAUAACAGGUCAGUGAUGCCCUUAGAUGUCCGGGGCCGCACGCGCGCUACAAUGGCAGUACCAAUGAGUUUUUUUCCUUGCCUGAGAGGGUGGGGUAAACUGCGAAUUACUGUCAUAUCUGGAAUAGAGGUUUGUAAUUAUUCCUCUUGAACCAGGAAUCCCUAGUAAGUACAAGUCACUAGCUUGUGCUGAUUACGUCCCUGCCCUUUGUACACACCGCCCGUCGCUACUACCGAUCGAAUAUGUUAGUGAGAUUGUUGGAUUUGGCUUUAAGUAGCUUUUGUUACUAAAGGUCGGAAAAGAUACUCAAACUAACAGGGAGAGA
rnacentral:rRNA from 1 species